CGGUGUACGAUCCAUUAGGUUCCAAUUAGCGAGGUAGUGGGCGAUUGUUACUCUUAACGAUCGAUUGUGAAUUGAAACCACAUUUCAAUUCUCCCUUUAUGAUUAGUGUUUGCUAGUCAUUAGCGCUUCCACAAACCAUGAGUGACACCUAGCAGUAUGUUAUGGUUACCCAAGCUAAGUAGAAUUGGUUGGAGAACCUAUCCAGUUACAACUAUAAUGCAAUACGGUCAUUCUCUAAUACAAUACUCUUAAUCACAUUGUUUAAGUGAUAGUUUGUUUCAUGUCUACUAUCCAAUGUGAUACUUUUCUAUAUGAUUCCUUUGAAUAUGAAUUGGAACAAACUUCCUAAGUCAUAUUCAUUUGCUUUGGCCAAAGACUUAUGAAUCAUAUCUUAGAGUAUUCUCCUUCCACCAUGGAAGGUUAGAGAUCCCUUGUUGUGCAUUCAUAUGCCUACAUGACUAGAUAGCUUGACCCCAACAAUGCCGUGGACACUCCGAUGGAAUGCUGUUGACAUGAUCAAAGAUCAAGGACCUAACCAUUAGACAUCUAUGAUGUCUCAGGUCAAAGGACUACUUUGCAUAUUGCAACUUUCGAGUUCUUACAUGACAUGUAUGUUUGAACUCUCUUUCGAUCGUUGUUCAGUGUACUCGAUUACUCUUUCGAGCACCUAUGUGUUUGUCUUAGUGUCCAACACCAAAUGACUUGAGACUAGUCAUACUCAAGCUUGAGUCGACAUAACACAUACUAACCUUAGCAGAUUGUCAAUACCCAAUUGGCAAUCCUAUGGCUAGGAACGUUUUAGGAAUGAAUAUAAGAGAAUGGUCUCGAUAAUCUAACUCACUUAGAUCACUUGUCUCUUAGAUCAAAUACAUC
rnacentral:lncRNA from 1 species